rnacentral:tRNA from 1 species
GGAGAGAUGCCGGAGUGGUCGAACGGGACGGAUUCGAAAUCCGUUGUACCUGCAAGGGUACCCAGGGUUUGUCGACUCAAAAAUCACCUAGUCGAACGGAUUUUUGCUUUCUUCA